UACGUAGGGUGCGAGCGUUGUCCGGAAUUAUUGGGCGUAAAGAGCUUGUAGGCGGUUUGUCGCGUCUGCGUGAAAAUCCGGGGCUCAACCCCGGACUUGCGGUGGGUACGGGCAGACUAGAGUGUGGUAGGGGAGACUGGAAUUCCUGGUGUAGCGGUGAAAUGCGCAGAUAUCAGGAGGAACACCGAUGGCGAAGGCAGGUCUCUGGGCCACUACUGACGCUGAGAAGCGAAAGCAUGGGGAGCGAACAGG
rnacentral:rRNA from 1 species